UUAAAAAGUAAAUAAAUUUAUUUGAGUAGUAUUAGUUAUAUUCUUGAAACUAAAAAAAUUUGGCGGUAUUUUAGUCUAUUCAGAGGAACUUGUUUUUUAAUCGAUAAUCCACGAUGUACCUUACUUAAAAUUGUUAAUCAAUCUAUAUAUCGUUGUUAUUAGAAUAUUUUAUAAGAAUAAUAAUUUUCUAUAAUUUUAAUUAAAAUUAAUAUCAAAUCAAGGUGUAGUUUAUUUUUAAGAAUAAAUGAGUUACAAUAAAAUUUAUUUUUGGAUUUAAAUAUGAAAAAUUUAAUGAAAUUGGAUUUGAUAGUAAAAUUAUAAAGAUAAAUAAUUUGAUUUUAGCUCUAAAAUAUGU
rnacentral:rRNA from 1 species